rnacentral:rRNA from 1 species
UGCGCAGGCGGACUUUUAAGUCAGUGGUGAAAUCCCGAGGCUCAACCUCGGAACUGCCAUUGAUACUGGAAGUCUUGAAUUUGGUUGAAGUGGGCGGAAUGUAGCAUGUAGCGGUGAAAUGCCUAGAUAUGCUACAGAACACCGAUCGCGAAGGCAGCUCACUAAGCCAAUAUUGACGCUCAGGCACGAAAGCGUGGGGAGCAAACAGGAUUAGAUACCCUGGUAGUCC